UCAAAACUACGUGAGCAACAAGUCACAAUUCACAGCAUAAUAUUUCACAAUACAACGACCAUAGCAUUAUUAUUUAACAGACGUUUGAGCAUUCAGGAUACAAGUAUUAUAGAGAUAUUAAAUCUUAUGAUUUAAAGAGAAAUCUAGAAUAUUCUAAAGCAACAUGAAUUCCAGUAAAGAAGUUGCGAAAGAUCAGAACAAAACAAAUACUGGAUACUCGUGGAGUUAUUUAUUUAACUCGAGGAAGAGGACAACAAGUGAAAAUAGUGUUUCAUCAAACUGUUCUAAUUCAUCGACGGAGUCAGGUACUCUUGGAGGACUCCAGCGGCAGACGAGUAAAAAUAAUGAUGAAUAUCUUUGGAUGAUAUGGCGAUCAUAAUUGCACACGAAACGAGUUCUAUAUACGACUUCUGUAAGAGUCCUAGGGUAUUACUUUGAUAUAGUUUAACAUGGUACUACAGGGGAGACGAUAAAAUGGAACAGAUAUCUUUUCUGCCGACAUGGUUCUUGGUUGCAUGGCUCGGAUCAAUCUUACUCUUCAGCCCUUUUGCAAUAAUCUUUGUGCUAUGUCUGCCCCAACUUCCCCUCCUAGUCGUAAGAAGGUUUUGUCAUAUACCUUUUGAAUAUAUUUAAGUUAAUGCUAUGUGUAAAUAUUUUGUAAAUAAUAUUAAGGAUUAAAUGCAUAAUUUUAAUUUU